CUUGCACCUGGUUUCUAGUGGCGAACGGGUGAGUAUUACAUCGGAUCAUGUCCUGUCCUGGGGGAGAGCCCGGCGAAAGCCGGAUUAAUACCGCAUACGAUCUACGGAUGAAAGCGGGGGACCUUCGGGCCUCGCGCUAUAGGGUUGGCCGAUGGCUGAUUAGCUAGUUGGUGGGGUAAAGGCCUACCAAGGCGACGAUCAGUAGCUGGUCUGAGAGGACGACCAGCCACACUGGGACUGAGACACGGCCCAGACUCCUACGGGAGGCAGCAGUGGGGAAUUUUGGACAAUGGGCGAAAGCCUGAUCCAGCAAUGCCGCGUGUGUGAAGAAGGCCUUCGGGUUGUAAAGCACUUUUGUCCGGAAAGAAAUCCUUGGCUCUAAUACAGUCGGGGGAUGACGGUACCGGAAGAAUAAGCACCGGCUAACUACGUGCCAGCAGCCGCGGUAAUACGUAGGGUGCAAGCGUUAAUCGGAAUUACUGGGCGUAAAGCGUGCGCAGGCGGUUUGCUAAGACCGAUGUGAAAUCCCCGGGCUCAACCUGGGAACUGCAUUGGUGACUGGCAGGCUAGAGUAUGGCAGAGGGGGGUAGAAUUCCACGUGUAGCAGUGAAAUGCGUACAGAUGUGGAGGAAUACCGAUGGCGAAGGCAGCCCCCUGGGCCAAUACUGACGCUCAUGCACGAAAGCGUGGGGAGCAAACAGGAUUAGAUACCCUGGUAGUCCACGCCCUAAACGAUGUCAACUAGUUGUUGGGGAUUCAUUUCCUUAGUAACGUAGCUAACGCGUGAAGUUGACCGCCUGGGGAGUACGGUCGCAAGAUUAAAACUCAAAGGAAUUGACGGGGACCCGCACAAGCGGUGGGAUGAUGUGGAUUAAUUCGAUGCAACGCGAAAAACCUUACCUACCCUUGACAUGGUCGGAAUCCCGCUGAGAGGUGGGGAGUGCUCGAAAGAGACCGGGCGCACAGGUGCUGCAUGGCUGUCGUCAGCUCGUGGUCGUG
rnacentral:rRNA from 1 species